rnacentral:rRNA from 1 species
AUGGCUGUCACGAGAACCAUUCUCGCCGUGGCUGUAAUGGCCAUCCUGAGCACCGCGUCAGCGGCGAUCUACAACGUUGGCGAGCCCGGCGGAGCGUGGGACCUCAGCACCAACUACGGCACAUGGGCGUCCUCCAGGAACUUCAAAGCCGACGACCAGAUCGUCUUCAAGUACUCCCCUCAAGCGCAUGAUGUCCUCGAGGUCAGCAAGGCCGACUACGACUCCUGCAGCACCGCCAGCCCCAUCACCACCCUCAACUCUGGGAAUGAUGUCGUCACCCUCACCGCCUCCGGCACCCGGUACUUCAUUUGCGGCUUCCCUGGCCAUUGCGCGGGUGGCAUGAAGGUCAAGAUCGAUGUCAUGUCUGGCUUCUCGUCACCCGCCCCAGCCAGCGGACCAAGUGCAAGCAAUGCUCCCCCGCCGACCCCUGCCUCCGCUGCCACCAAUGUGGAGGCCACCGGUUUUGGCCUCGCCGUUUUGCUUGCCGUUGCUGGCCUCAUGGCUUGA